CUCAGUACACUCUCAUUACUACUGUGUCAAACCACACAGUCAACAGCACUGUCAGUCUCACUGUAAAAAACCAUGGCAACAGCACUGUUGAAUGUGUUAGCAACAAUGGAAAUGGAGAAGAAAGAGAGAACCUGCUGGUCUAUAAAAAACAUGAACAACCAUCUAGUUUUGGGCUGGAAUUCCUGAAAGUCAUCAUUGCGUUUUUGACUGGGGUACUUCUUUCAGUAAUUGUGUGCUGUUUGGUCAAAAAUUGCUACAGUUUCUCCAGAAAAAAAAAGAAGAGCUCCAGAAAUUCUGAUGAGACUUUGGAGAUGGAGACACAUCGAAAUG